rnacentral:siRNA from 1 species
UUGAGUCUAAGGGUUCUAGGAU